rnacentral:rRNA from 1 species
CAAUAGCGUAUAUUAAAGUUGUUGCAGUUAAAAAGCUCGUAGUUGGAUUUCUGGUAGGAGUGAACGUUCCGAACUUGAUUGUUCGUGUAUUGUGUUUUCUCCAGCCAUCCUUGUGGAGAACUUUUCUUGCAUUAAUUUGUAGGGAUUGGGACCCGCAUCGUUUACUGUGAAAAAAUUAGAGUGUUUAAAGCAGGCAAUCGCUUGAAUACAUUAGCAUGGAAUAAUAAGAUAGGACUUUGGUACUAUUUUGUUGGUUUGCAUACCAAAUUAAUGAUCAACAGGAACAGUUUGAGGAUAUUCGUAUGAACAUGUCAGAGGUGAAAUUCUUGGAUUUUGAUCAGACGAACUACUGCGAAAGCAUUUAUCAAGGAUGUUUUCAUUAA